AUUGAACGCUGGCGGCAGGCCUAACACAUGCAAGUCGAGCGAGCGGCGGACGGGUGAGUAAUGUAUGGGGAUCUGCCCGCUAGAGGGGGAUAACUACUGGAAACGGUGGCUAAUACCGCGUACCAUCGGAUGUGCCCAAGUGGGAUUAGGUAGUGGGUGGGGUAAAGGCUCACCAAGCCGACGAUCUCUAGCUGGUCUGAGAGGAUGACCAGCCAAACCUGGACUGAGACACGGCCCAGACUCCUAAGGGAGGCAGCAGUGGGGAAUAUUGCGCAAUGGGGGCAACCUGACGCAGCCAAGCCGCGUGAAUGAAGAAGGCCUUCGGGGUGUAAAGUUCUUUCGGUAGCGAGGCGUUAACUACAGAAGAAGCACCGGCUAACUCCGUGCCAGCAGCCGCGGUAAUAC
rnacentral:rRNA from 1 species